rnacentral:rRNA from 1 species
AUGGAGAAGGGCAAGGAGGUCCUGCCGCCCAUGGAGGUUGCACCGACUACGCCUGAGGAGGUGGCCACGGAUGAGGAUGUUGUGUCGAAGGAGCCCCCUAGUGGCAAGUGCCAUAACUGCAGCCACUACCAAGAGGAGGGAGGUCCAACCCAAUUCUGCAAGGUGAUCCUUGCUCCUCAGUUUGAGUGCAUCCCGAUGCCUCUUGACUUCACCAAACACUUCCCGGCGGUGCCACAAGAGUUUAAGCCGAGGACCAACAUCGGCUGCUCAUGGGGGGUGACUGUCCGGCUGAUGGACGACAGGGUGACCCUCAAUCGGGGUUGGGCCCCCUUCACCGCCGUCCAUCAGAUCAGGAUCGACUACAUGGUGAUGUUCAAGCUGCUCACUCCGGACACGCUGAAGGUCAUCGUCUUCGACGACGAAGGCAUUGAAGUGGUGACGAAGUGCGGCAAGCAUGACGACGCCUUCGCCCUCAACAUCUAG